rnacentral:piRNA from 1 species
UCAUUGAGUGCCUUGAAAGUG